GUUGCGAGAACCAUCCAGUUGCCAAGUUUCCAGGCUCACCAUUUCAACUCCUCAAACAGCAUAGAGGCGAACAACCUGGUUGAUCGUGGCGCGGCAGAUAGGGCACCCCCACUUCUUGGACUCUAUGUCCUUCAAGCAGGACAUGCAACCAGCCAUGUGGCCGCACGGAAUGCAGGCCCCUUCCACGGGGGCAUCCAAACAGAUAACACAGGUGCCGGAGGGAGUAUUGCCGCUGCCGCUGCCGCUGCCGCUCGCAUUAGCCUCAUCUUCUCCAGGUCCCACAGAUGCUGCCACAGUACCGCCUUCGGUGGUAGCAGGCAUGAUUACAUCGACAGGAGUGGAAUCUAUGGAUGGGUACUGAACAGGGCCGCUGUAGAAGGUUUCUUCGGCAAAUGGUGGUGCAGUUGGGGUCGGAAGAGCUGGUAGUGCUUCCUGCGGAAUCACAACCGGUGGGUUGGUUUGUGUUUUGCUGGGUUUCGAUGAACUUUGGCUAGAGCUUG
rnacentral:lncRNA from 1 species